GCGGAGCAUGUCACGAGAGUGACGUCAUUCGGUUUGCUAUGGAGUGAGAAAAUCCCACAGGAAAAUUAAGUUUAUUUGAUAAAGCACUGGGUGUUUUCUCUAUGUACGACUGAGUAUGCAGUGUUAGCAUAUUAUAGAAUACAUCUCCUUCAACAUUCUUUCGGUUUUUAAUCGAAAAGUACAAAAUGCAAGACGGACGCUAGGAGCCCUCGGAGGACACUUUCGGGAUGCCACGUAGAAAAUCGCUUGGUGUUGAAACAUUGAUAGACCAUGGUGAGACAGAAGGGGAACAACUGACAGAAAGUUUAUCAGUGGGAGAAAAGGGAGACAAUAUAGCAGAUAAUGAAGCAUACGAAAAAGAUGAAGAUGAAGAAGAAGAUGAUGA